UGAUUUACAUUUGAGUGAGUGGCGAACUGGUGAGUAACACGUGGGAAACCUGCCCAGAAGCGGGGGAUAACACCUGGAAACAGAUGCUAAUACCGCAUAACAACUUGGACCGCAUGGUCCGAGUUUGAAAGAUGGCUUCGGCUAUCACUUUUGGAUGGUCCCGCGGCGUAUUAGCUAGAUGGUGGGGUAACGGCUCACCAUGGCAAUGAUACGUAGCCGACCUGAGAGGGUAAUCGGCCACAUUGGGACUGAGACACGGCCCAAACUCCUACGGGAGGCAGCAGUAGGGAAUCUUCCACAAUGGACGAAAGUCUGAUGGAGCAACGCCGCGUGAGUGAAGAAGGGUUUCGGCUCGUAAAACUCUGUUGUUAAAGAAGAACAUAUCUGAGAGUAACUGUUCAGGUAUUGACGGUAUUUAACCAGAAAGCCACGGCUAACUACGUGCCAGCAGCCGCGGUAAUACGUAGGUGGCAAGCGUUGUCCGGAUUUAUUGGGCGUAAAGCGAGCGCAGGCGGUUUUUUAAGUCUGAUGUGAAAGCCUUCGGCUCAACCGAAGAAGUGCAUCGGAAACUGGGAAACUUGAGUGCAGAAGAGGACAGUGGAACUCCAUGUGUAGCGGUGAAAUGCGUAGAUAUAUGGAAGAACACCAGUGGCGAAGGCGGCUGUCUGGUCUGUAACUGACGC
rnacentral:rRNA from 1 species